AAUCGUCAAAUUUGAAGGGGGAGUAUCGCAAGCUCUCCCGACUUUUCUGUCGCUCCGGCCGAAAAUUGUCAUAUUUCAAGGGGGAGUAUCACAAGCUCUCCCGACAUUUCUGUCGCUCCGGCCAGAAAUCGUCAUAUUUCAAGGGGGAGUAUCACAAGCUCUCCCGACACUUCUGUCGCUCCGGCCGGAAGUCAUCAAAUAUGAGCACGG
rnacentral:lncRNA from 1 species